UACGGAGGGUGCAAGCGUUAUCCGGAUUUACUGGGUUUAAAGGGUGCGUAGGUGGGUAAGUAAGUCAGUGGUGAAAUCUCCGGGCUUAACCCGGAAACUGCCAUUGAUACUAUUUAUCUUGAAUACUUUGGAGGUAAGCGGAAUAUGUCAUGUAGCGGUGAAAUGCUUAGAUAUGACAUAGAACACCGAUUGCGAAGGCAGCUCACUAAAUUGUAACUGACGCUGAGGCACGAAAGCGUGGGGAUCAAACAGG
rnacentral:rRNA from 1 species